GGAAGGAAGAAGAAAGAUCCGAUGUUACUGGGCAACUGUCCAUGCAACGUGCAGGUGAAGCGAUGGUGCCUUAUGCUGCGCUAAAUCUGAGUAAACCCCGGAAAAUUCCAAGGAAGGUGAAUCAAGAAAGGACGCUGUAUGCACAGACCAAGCAGAAACCAAUGCCUGGUAAAGUGAUUUACGCGCCUGUCGCUACGACGGGAAACAAGACAGAAGGAAACACAAAUCGUUGGCAUAAUUACACGGACAACUCACAGCCAAUGAAACAAAUGCGAGGGGCAGAUGGUAUCUAUUCGGAAUGGAUUCCCAAGUAGUUUCCGUGCUCAAAGUGACGUCUUGUUAUUUGUGUAGUUACUUAGCAACUCGUCCAUGAUCUGACAACAAGAAGGCAGCAACAGCCCUCAGGGAAAUGGCGAGAUGUUCCAUAUUACAAGCAUCAAGCACUGAUUUGACGUCAAAGCUCCUAACCAACUGAGCCCUUCACCUUCAACACUAGGGGUGAAAUGGGUCACAACCAGUUGCCCAAGUUAUGCGCCAGUAAACAUCGGUGUCCAUCCGCUUGGCAACUGUGCCCUUUGAAAUUGCAUACGUUUUGUAAAAGGAGGCACCUCCUUAUUU